GGACAACUCUUCAAUUUUUGAAACUUUUUGGAGCAGUUGUGUUUUUGGGAUUAUGGGCUUUUCGUAGCCAGUGAAAUACACCUGUAAAAGGAACCAUUGUAAACCUAGGGCUGCCAUACGUCCAGGAAGUAUGUCUUUGUCCUGGAUCUUAGGCAAGUCAAUUGAAAAAUCAUGUUCUUUUGGCGUUCGUGUUUUAAAUAGCUCAACAACUUUUGGGGCAACCUUAGUCAACCACCAGUAUAAAGUUUGCAGGACAAGUGAGCAAAUGACGUUCAAACAGCAAAAACUUUGAAGCAUUUUAUGUUUGCCUAUAUCAAAUUUAAUCCGUCACAUUAUUUCCUUUUAUAUCUGUAUUGCAGGUUUGGGAAGGACAUCAAUGCAUGUUUUCUUCUCUUCCAGCUGCUAAGAAAGGAAGAAGAUGCAACAUGACUGGGCACCUGGCAACUGUGUUCAGUCCAGAAUCUGUUGCUUUUCCAGAUUUGGUAAAGAGGCCUGCCUUUUCUUCAGCUGAGCAAGGACACCAAACCAAAGCAAUAAAGUAGACACAGCAUUGUUCAUCAUGAUGGAUUUUUGCAGUCUGAUGGGCCUAGAUGUAGACUUAUGACAAACAACAUUACCAGCAUAGGACCAGGACCAGCCCAACCAUUAGGCAAAGAGGGACAACCGCUUCAGACGGCAGAUGGCCUGAGAUACGCUCCCCAAGGAAACUGUGUUAUCUCUUCAGCGCCAGGCAAAUACAUUUUUAUUCACUGGGCAUUUGAACAGCCCUGGUGGCCUGACAUUUAAUAGCUGCUGGUGCCUCUCCUGUGUUGUGCUGCUUUAGAUUGCUUUUAUUUGAACAAACAUUUUUAGUAUUUUAUAUUUGCAUUGUUUUACUGAAUUUCUCCUGUAAUCUGUAUUUUGCAUUUUAUUAC